CAGACUAAGUACGCCAGAAUCGGAUCCGCUAUCGAAUAUGCAGUUUUGCAUCUCAAGGUACAAGAGAUUGUGGUGAUUGGGCAUAGUGCCCGUGGUGGAAUCAAGGGGCUUAUGUCUUUCCCAUACGACGGAAACACCCCGACGGAAGGCCUUGAGAUUGUUUAAGAAAAAUGAUGGGUAUUAUGAAGUAAAAUUUAGUCUAAUUCAAUUGAGAUUUUUUACAGUGAUUUCAUUGAAGAUUGGGUUAAGAUUGGAAUGCCUGCUAAGACCAAGGUGCGAGCUGAACAUGGUAGUGAGCCUUUUGGAGGUCAAUGUGCACACUGUGAGAAGGAAGCCGUGAAUGUAUCACUUGGCAACCUGCUGAGUUCUCCAUUUGUAAGAGGCGGAUUGGUGAAGAAAACGCUAGCUAUCAAGGGCGGAUACUACGAUUUCAUUAAUGGAACUUUUGAGCUAUGGAGUCUUGAGUUUCAGCUUUCAAACCCUCUCUCUGUAUGAAAACACCACCAUCUC